AUUGAACGCUGGCGGCAGGCCUAACACAUGCAAGUCGAACGAGUGGCGGACGGGUUAGUAAUGUCUGGGAAACUGCCUGAUGGAGGGGGAUAACUACUGGAAACGGUAGCUAAUACCGCCUACCAUAGGCUGUGCCCAGAUGGGAUUAGCGAGUAGGUGGGGUAAAGGCUAACCAAGGCGUCGAUCCCUAGCUGGUCUGAGAGGAUGAACAGCCACACUGGAACUGAGACACGGUCCAGACUCCGACGGGAGGCAGCAGUGGGGAAUAUUGCACAAUGGGCGAAAGCCUGAUGCAGCCAUGCCGCGUGUAUGAAGAAGGUCUUCGGGUUGUAAAGUACUUUCAGCGGGGAGGCGUUACCCGCAGAAGAAGCACCGGCUAACUCCGUGCCAGCAGCCGCGGUAAUAC
rnacentral:rRNA from 1 species